CUGUGUGGUGGUGUGCUGGCUGUUGGUCUGGUUCAGGUCCUGCACCAGCUCCUCAUAGCCCUCCCUGAUGGUGGGAAGGCCGCGUUUAGCCAGUAAUCUGGACCUGGGACGCAUGACUGUAAAAGUGGAAAUAGAGCAUUCAACAACAUAAACAACUGGAGGAUGGAGGACAGAGAAGUGCCUGGACAUUGAUGUCAGUCUGUCUACGUAAACUGUGUGUUUACACAGCUUUUUAAAAUGAUUGCAUGGAUUCCUAUUGAAAUGACUGCAUGGAUUUCGGCUGCGAAAAUUCUCUGAAUGGUAAAUGUGACCUCACAAGUCUCUUUAUUAUCAGACUUUUCUCCCUAGAAACAGAAAAGUUCUUUUCAUCUCAGCUCUCUAAACAUCAGCAAUUAACUUGUUAAAAACAUUAAAGUUUGUUACAUUAAGUGUCAUUCUUUCCUAAAAAUCAGUCAUAAGCAGCCUACUCGGCACGGAGCGCUGCCUCCACAUAUCAUGUCAUAGACCAUUUCUCAUCUCUCUGAAAACUUCCAUUGAAAUCACAAAUAAAAUGCAACAAAUACACCACUGUUACUGAUAUACAGUACAUAUGCUGACAAAAAGAACAGAUGCAAUUUAAUAAAAUAUAUUAAAAUAUUUUAACAUUAUGUUUCAUAUAAUUUUAUACAACAGUUUUAAUUAUUAUAAUUUACUAUAAAUUAUUAUUUAUGUAUUUGAUAUGCAUAUAACUAGAAUCGCUCAUGAUAUGUUAACUCAAAAAUUCACAUGUUCAAAUGUUGAGGUUUAUGAUAUUAAUAUUAUUAUGAAUCCUCUUACAGUUUCUAUUUCUCUUUAGGCAUUUUAAGUCAAUUCAUGAAACAUAACUGAAACUCCAUUAAUUCUCCUGAUCUAGGAAACACGAUCUCUGAACAAUACAGUUUUCUCCAGGAAACCAUAACAACAUAUAUUUGCAAUUCGCAACAAGCAUACAAAAUCAUUCAGUUACACUGUAAACGUUAGUUAAUGCAUUAACUAACCAUGAGCAAUACAUUUGUAACAGUAUUUACAUUUUUAAACCUUAGUUGAUAAAAGUACUGUUAACUGUUAUGUUCAUAAUAACUUGGGUCCAUUAACAAUUAUUUAAAAAUACAAAUUUUAAUUUGAAUAAUGUAUUAGUAAAUGUUGAAAUUAACGUGAACUAAGAUUGUUACAGACAUGUCAAAUUCACCAGCACACGUACACUUUCACACACAGACCUCUAAUGCAUCUUUUGUUGGCUUUGACAUUAAUAACCCACAUUAUCGCUUCAUUUAUAAUUAAACAGCAUGGUUUUUGAAGUUGUCAUUGCCUGCCUGAUCAUUCCUUAUUGAUGCUCUGUACAGUAAAUGCCAAAAAUCAAUGUAUAUAAUGGGAGGGAUUGGUUACAGGAAUAUGUGCAAGCCCAGUCUCCAUGGCAACGCCUCUUCCCAUCACAUCCCAGGCUGUGCUCAGAUUUCAUAGCAAUUGGAAAGCACAUACACAGACAUACACACACACACACACACACCAUGAAACA